CACCGCCCGUCACACUAUGGGAGCUGGCCAUGCCCGAAGUCGUUACCUUAACCGCAAGGAGGGGGGUGCCGAAGGCAGGGCUAGUGACUGGAGUGAAGUCGUAACAAGGUAGCCGUACUGGAAGGUGCGGCUG
rnacentral:ncRNA from 1 species